UCCUCAGUAGCUCAGUGUUAGAGUGGUCGGUUGUUAACUCACUAGUCAUAGGUUUAAGUCCUAUUUAGGGAG
rnacentral:tRNA from 2 species